CCAGACAAGGACGAAUGCUCAGGGGGUCCCAGUCCCUGCUCCCAUACCUGCCGUAAUGCUCCCGGCCGUUUCUCCUGCUCCUGCCCCACUGGCUUCUCCCUGGCUUGGGACCGCAGGAACUGUAGAGAUGUGGACGAGUGUGCAGGAGACACCCACCUCUGCCAGGAGGGGCAGCACUGUGUGAACCUGCUCGGCUCCUAUAACUGCCUCCCUUCCUGUAGGCCUGGCUUCCGGGUAACUGCUGACGGAAGCAACUGCGAAGGUGACAGGGGCACCAGGCGGGGCCCAGCCAUACUCCCAAGAAACCAGAGAAUGUCACUGGGAUUCGGGGGCAUCUAGAACUCUCUUGGCAGAAGCCCAGAGCUGGGUCCUAUCUUUUCC
rnacentral:lncRNA from 1 species